rnacentral:rRNA from 1 species
AUGGCUCAGGACGAACGCUGGCGGCAUGCCUAACACAUGCAAGUCGAACGGAGUUAGAGGGGCUUGCUCCUCUAACUUAGUGGCGGACGGGUGAGUAACGCGUGAGUAACCUGCCUUUCAGUGGGGAAUAAUAUUCUGAAAAGAGUACUAAUACCGCAUAACGUAUAGAAACCGCAUGAUUUUUAUACCAAAGAUUUAUCGCUGAGAGAUGGACUCGCGUCCGAUUAGCCAGUUGGUGAGGUAACGGCUCACCAAAGCAACGAUCGGUAGCCGGACUGAGAGGUUGAACGGCCACAUUGGGACUGAGACACGGCCCAGACUCCUACGGGAGGCAGCAGUGGGGGAUAUUGUGCAAUGGGGGAAACCCUGACACAAGCAAUGCCGCGUGAAGGAUGAAGGUCUUCGGAUUGUAAACUUCUUUUGUCAAGGACGAUAAUGACGGUACUUGACGAAUAAGCUCUGGCUAACUACGUGCCAGCCGCGGC